GACGAACGCUGGCGGCGCGCUUAACACAUGCAAGUCGAGCGAAGCGGCGGACGGGUGAGUAACACGUGAGUAACCUGCCUUAGACAUUGGGAUAGCCUCGGGAAACCGGGAUUAAUACCAAAUGGUCUAAGAUGGACUCGCGUCCCAUUAGCUAGUUGGUGGGUAACGGCCCACCAAGGCGACGAUGGGUAGCCUGCCUGUGAGGGUGAACGGCCACAUUGGAACUGAGACACGGUCCAAACUCUACGGUAGGCAGCAGUGGUGAAUAUUGCACAAUGGAGGGAACUCUUAUGCAGCGACGCCGCGUGAACGAAGAAGGCUUGCGAGUGGUAAAGUUCUUUUAUAUGGGAAGCGGUACCAUAAGAAAAAGCCCCGGCUAACUACGUGCCAGCAGACGCGGUAAUAC
rnacentral:rRNA from 1 species